rnacentral:rRNA from 1 species
AGAGUUUGAUCAUGGCUCAGGACGAACGCUGGCGGCGUGCUUAACACAUGCAAGUCGAACGGACUGCUUCAAGCUUGCUUGGGGUGGUGAGUGGCGAACGGGUGAGUAACACGUGAGUAACCUGCCCUCUUCUUUGGGAUAACGGCCGGAAACGGCUGCUAAUACCGGGUAUUCACUGGUCCUCGCAUGGGGGUUGGUGGAAAGGGGCCUCGUUUGGGGUUUCUGGUGGGGGAUGGGCUCGCGGCUUAUCAGCUUGUUGGUGGGGUGAUGGCCUACCAAGGCUUUGACGGGUAGCCGGCCUGAGAGGGUGACCGGUCACAUUGGGACUGAGAUACGGCCCAGACUCCUACGGGAGGCUGCAGUGGGGAAUUUUGCACAAUGGGCGCAAGCCUGAUGCAGCGACGCCGCGUGAGGGAUGGAGGCCUUCGGGUUGUGAACCUCUUUCGCUCAUGGUCAAGCCGCGGAUGUGUCCGUGGUGAGGGUAGUGGGUAAAGAAGCGCCGGCUAACUACGUGCCAGCAGCCGCGGUAAUACGUAGGGCGCGAGCGUUGUCCGGAAUUAUUGGGCGUAAAGGGCUUGUAGGCGGUUUGUCGCGUCUGCCGUGAAAUUCCCUGGCUUAACUGGGGGCGUGCGGUGGGUACGGGCAGGCUUGAGUGCGGUAGGGGAGACUGGAAUUCCUGGUGUAGCGGUGGAAUGCGCAGAUAUCAGGAGGAACACCGGUGGCGAAGGCGGGUCUCUGGGCCGUUACUGACGCUGAGGAGCGAAAGCAUGGGGAGCGAACAGGAUUAGAUACCCUGGUAGUCC